rnacentral:piRNA from 1 species
UCCGCUUCUGCUCUAGCAGGCUCUCCUGCAA